CCUACGGGAGGCUGCAGUGAGGAAUAUUGGUCAAUGGGCGCGAGCCUGAACCCGCCAAGUAGCGUGAAGGAUGACUGCCCUACGGGUUGUAAACUUCUUUUAUAAAGGAAUAAAGUGAGGCCCGUGUGCCUUUUUGUAUGUACUUUAUGAAUAAGGAUCGGCUAACUCCGUGCCAGCAGCCGCGGUAAUACGGAGGAUCCGAGCGUUCUCCGGAUUUCUUGGGUUUAAAGGGAGCGUAGAUGGGUUGUUAAGUCAGUUGUGAAAGUUUGCGGCUCAACCGUAAAAUUGCAAUUGAUACUGGCAGUCUUGAGUACAGUUGAGGUAGGCGGAAUUCGUGGUGUAGCGGUGAAAUGCUGAGAUAUCACGAAGAACUCCGAUUGCGAAGGCAGCUUACUAAACUGCCACUGACAUUGAUGCUCGAAAGUGUGGGUAUAAAACAGGAUUAGAUACCCCUGUAGUC
rnacentral:rRNA from 1 species